CUUGGAUCAUCUUUGUUCUUGUUCAUCUUAUCAUUCUAUAACACAAAAUUCGGCAUAAUGAAAAUGAACCUAUGGAGUUUAUGUAAAUUUAGCGGAUGAUCGGAAAAGGUGCCAUGAUGGCGAGGUUGGCUGUACACCAUGAAGAUAUUCGAUUCUCACAACAUCGUGAACGAUGCACAAAUCGAUCCUACGUCCAUUAGCCAAGUCUGUUUUAACACGCUCCGUUAACCCACAUUCUUCAUAAAACAUGCAUUAAACUUUCGCUUCUAAAUUUCAAGUGUUACUCCGAUCAAUCUUAAUUAACAGUAAUCAUCACUUUCAAACAUGUACGCCUGUCCUCCUAUGCCACCGGUACACUGUGCUCCACCAUGUCCACCACCUCAGCAAUCAUCAGGCGACUCUUCGUCGAAAUAUUAUCGAGAAAUCGGAACAAUCAUGAACAGUAAUCAAUUGAUAAUCCGUAUGGAAAGGGACAAGAAUAAAUCGAGGAGGAGUAAGAACUGGGAUCCACCGUGUGACUGCGACGUGGUCGAAAUACAGAGACCCUCCAGUAAAGAAGGGCCUAAAAUAUUGAAGGGAGCCAAUAACAAUCGAAUCUUGUUUCGUGUACAAUCCAAGUCGCAGGUUGGCAAGAAGUACGUCGAGAGUGACAGACCACAAGCCAUUUCUUACGAGGUUGGUCGAUGCAAAGGUGGUCCUAAUUCUAAUGACCAAUGCAGAACCUUCACAAUAUUUCCUGUGCUGGAUGGUGCAGAGUCACAGGAAGUGCACACGGAUCGUGUUACCGAAGGCAAUGAAAACGUGUUUAUGUUGAGGGUGAGAAAGAAGACUGAUUCUGUCGAAGAUCCGAAACGAAAUAUCGAAGUCGAGGUUCGAACACCGAAACCACCGACCCCUUAAUCAUAAUCAAAAGCACAAGGAUUUGGAAAAUUUGGAAAAUUUCAAGUACAGUAACAAACCCGAUGACCAAGAAGAUUAAUCAUUCAAUCCCGCACGAAGAAGAAGCCUACAGUUACUCAUUGAAGAAAACGAGAAAACUUUAUGACGAUUGAUGACGUGAUGCUUUAGUCAACCAAGAAUCUAAGUUUUAAUAAAAAGUUUAUUUAUCGGAAAGAAGAGAUGUGGAAAAAUGUCGACAACGAUUCUCACGACCGAAUUCCAGAGUUAGGUGCAAGUAUCAAUGGAUCCAUUCAGGAUUUUCAGGAUUCUUUUGCAGGAGUGGCCACCCGCCUACUGCAGUCCCAUUUUUUAACGUCAAGAAUUGAAGAAAGAAGAAGAAACGUAGAACGUCGAGGUCGUUCAAAAAUUCAAAACUAUUUUUAAACACUCAUCCAAGCAUUGAAAUUGUUACUUUCGUAUAUUAAUAUUCCACACGGGUGCAACUUAUCGUGGAAAAUUGCUUGAAAAUUUCAUGCCAGAAAGGAACGAAGAAGAGGAGGACGGAAAAUCGUGAUACUAAAAAAUUACCUGAUUAUAUGACUAAGCUGAUAAGGUAACAGAUAAAUACGAGUUUGCACGUUCGCUGAACAUUCAUUUACACGGCAGCAAUUGUGGGUGGCAGAAC